rnacentral:rRNA from 1 species
UACGUAGGGUGCAAGCGUUAUCCGGAAUUAUUGGGCGUAAAGAGCUCGUAGGCGGUUUGUCGCGGCUGCUGUGAAAACUGGAGGCUCAACCUCCAGCCUGCAGUGGGUACGGGCAGACUAGAGUGCGGUAGGGGAGAUUGGAAUUCCUGGUGUAGCGGUGGAAUGCGCAGAUAUCAGGAGGAAUACCGAUGGCGAAGGCAGAUCGCUGGGCCGUAACUGACGCUGAGGAGCGAAAGCAUGGGGAGCGAACAGG